AGGGUCACUCUCUUCAUAUCAAUUGCAAACAAUGUGGGCAUAUAUAAUUGCUUUGAGUCAUUGUUACAUCCUUGGCCCAGGAAAAGGACACUUGUAUAAGAGGAGCAGAUGUCUUUCAGAAUACACUUUCUGGGAAAACAGAUGAGAACAUGACAUGUACAAGCAUGUGAUGUUGACAGAGCAAUUUACCCAACUGUCAGCACAGAGAGAAUAUGACUGGAAUCCACAAUCAACCCAUGCAUCUACUCGGCUGACUUACAAAGUCUUAAUGGAAACCACUGAAAGAAAGUGACAAGAAAUGGAAGUCCUUAUAGUAUAUGACAGAAACCACCAAGAAUGGAUGGAUGGCAAUUAUAUAUCUAUGUUCCUUAUUUUUAAUUUUUAUUUUCAUGUGCAAUCUUUUGUUAACU